AUUGAACGCUGGCGGCAUGCCUUACACAUGCAAGUCGAACGGCAGCACGGGUGCUUGCACCUGGUGGCGAGUGGCGAACGGGUGAGUAAUACAUCGGAACGUACCUUAUCGUGGGGGAUAACGCAGCGAAAGCUGUGCUAAUACCGCAUACGCCCUGAGGGGGAAAGCGGGGGAUCGCAAGACCUCGCGCGAUUAGAGCGGCCGAUGCCUGAUUAGCUUGUUGGUGGGGUAAAAGCCCACCAAGGCGACGAUCAGUAGCUGGUCUGAGAGGACGAUCAGCCAAACUGGGACUGAGACACGGCCCAGACUCCUACGGGAGGCAGCAGUGGGGAAUUUUGGACAAUGGGGGCAACCCUGAUCCAGCAAUGCCGCGUGAGUGAAGAAGGCCUUCGGGUUGCAAAGCUCUUUUGUCAGGGAAGAAACACCGGCUCUAACACAGUCCGGGAAUGACGGUACCUGAAGAAUAAGCACCGGCUAACUACGUGCCAGCAGCCGCGGUAA
rnacentral:rRNA from 1 species